ACCAAAUUGCACGAUUUGACUCCUCAGCUCUCUCGCCCAAGGCAUUAACGCUCAUUUAUUUUCACAGUGGCUCCCGAAGAUGCUGCUGCUGGCAACUGGACUAUGAUCAUCAUCAACACCAGAGCUGGAAUUCUCAGAAUGUCCCUUCUCUGGCAAAUGCUUUAUAUGCAUCACGUCAAGGCUUUUUUUUUUGUUAUUGGUCUCCUUUUACAGAGGAUGAACUGAAGCUUGAAGGAAUCAUAGGUCUUACUCAAGGUGACAAGGCCCAAACUGGAAAUGGACUAAGUCACACACAGGCACGCCCAGCUCUGCUGACUCUGCUUCCAUUCUUCUUUGAUAUGUCUCACAGAAGUUUCCAACUGCGCUCAGAUGGAAAUCUCAGAAGUUCUCAUGAGCUGGACAGAGUAUGGCUGAAAGCUUUUCCCCAGAAAACAAACCUUGGGAGGAGCAACAAAGGACUCUUGUAGCCGACUUGAUGGGCAAGCUGAUCAAUGGCAGUACCAGGCACCUGUGACCUUCUUUGCACAGACAUACUGAGAGCCAGAAGUGCCUGGGAAUUAAUGUUCACCAGGAGUUAUCAGCAGCCAAUGACUGGAGCGCCUCAACAGCUUGGAUUCAUUUCCCAGGAACCAGUCAUCUGGGCCAGUGAUUCUCUACCUCACAUUGUUCUCCCUGAGUACUUGGCAGGGCGGGGAGGGAGAGCAAAGAGAGAAGAGAGAGCGUGCUCCACGGCUCAUUAGGUAAUUAUUGAUGGGGAGGGUGUUCUUAUCAAACUAUUCCAGGAGUCAUGGGGUUUUUAUAUUAAAAACCAAGAAAGGAAAGAAAAAGAACCACCAUUCCCAAAUUAAUUUGCUACAAAGCCUCAUUGUUUCCUGCCUCCUCCUUU
rnacentral:lncRNA from 13 species